rnacentral:rRNA from 1 species
UACGAGGGGGGCGAGCGUUGUUCGGAAUUAUUGGGCGUAAAGGGUGCGUAGGCGGUUCCGCAAGUCCUGUGUGAAAUCUUCGGGCUCAACUCGAAGUCUGCACGGGAAACUGCGGGGCUUGAGUGUGGGAGAGGUGAGUGGAAUUCCCGGUGUAGCGGUGAAAUGCGUAGAUAUCAUUUGGAACGCCAAUGGUGAAAACAGGUUGCUGGGAGUGUGCUGACACUGAGACACGAAAGCCAGGGGAGCAAACGGG